CGGGGGCUGCGGGGUGGCGGAUGUCAGUGUGCGGCCGUAGGCUGGACCGCGGGUGUUUGCUGUUGCGGAGAUCCACCGAGGACGGAGACGGACCGAAGUGCGCAUGCCUGGCUCCCUGUAUGCCGCCCGCG